rnacentral:rRNA from 1 species
UACGUAGGAUGCAAGCGUUGUCCGGAAUUAUUGGGCGUAAAGCGUUCGUAGGCGGUUGCCUAAGUCUGGUGUUAAAUACAGGAGCUCAACUCCUGCAUGGCACUGGAAACUGGGCAGCUAGAGUGUGGUAGAGGUCACGGGAAUUCCAGGUGUAGCGGUGAAAUGCGUAGAUAUCUGGAGGAACACCAGUGGCGAAAGCGCGUGACUGGGCCACAACUGACGCUGAGGAACGAAAGCUAGGGGAGCGAAGGGG